rnacentral:rRNA from 1 species
UACGGGGGGAGCAAGCGUUGUUCGGAUUUACUGGGUGUAAAGGGUGCGUAGGCGGCGCGGUAAGUCGGGUGUGAAAUCUCGGAGCUUAACUCCGAAACUGCAUUCGAUACUGCCGUGCUUGAGGACUGGAGAGGAGACUGGAAUUUACGGUGUAGCGGUGAAAUGCGUAGAUAUCGUAAGGAAGACCAGUGGCGAAGGCGGGUCUCUGGACAGUUCCUGACGCUGAGGCACGAAGGUCAGGGGAGCAAACGGG